rnacentral:rRNA from 1 species
AGGUGAUGCCUGCCCAGUGAGGCAUCGACCCUUAAACGGCCGCGUAUAAAACGUGCAAAGGUAGCAAAAUCAUUUGUCCUCUAAAUAGGGACCAGUAUGAACGGCAACAUGAGAAAGUAACUGUCUCUUUAGGCUAGCCAAUGAACCUGACCUGUCUGUACAAACGCAGACAUAAAAAAACAAGACAAAAAGACCCUGUGAAGCUUUAAAUGUAGAAUCAACGAACUGAUCAAUACAUUUUUGGUUGGGGCAACCAAAGAGAAAUAUAAACCUCACACCCAGUCAUACGGCCAACAAGCCAACUGACAUACAACAGACCCAGUAUUACUGAUCAAAGAACCAAGUUACUCCAGGGAUAACAGCGCUACAUUCUUGAAGAGUCCGUAUCAACAAGAAUACCUACGACCUCGAUGUUGGAUUAGGGUACCCAGAUGGCGCAAAAGUUAUCAACGGUUCGUUUGUUCAACGAUUAAAA